CCGGGGUUCCGCAAGCCGUCUCGAGCAAGCCGUUUUUGAGCUGUUCCGGCAAAGCCGAGAGUCCAAAAUCCGAUACCUUGAGGUUUCCAUUUCUGUCGAGGAGGAGGUUCUGGGGCUUCACGUCGCGGUGAGCGACGCCGUUUUUAUGGCAGAAGCUGAUGGCGGAGACAAGCUGCUGGAAGUAGCGACGAGCUGAGGCCUCGUUGAGUCGGCCCCGUCGACGGAGCUUGGAAAAGAGUUCUCCACCGGAGGCUAACUCCAUUAUUAGGUAGAUCUUUGACUUGGUGGCCAUAACUUCAUGGAUUUUGAGGAUAUU
rnacentral:lncRNA from 1 species